rnacentral:lncRNA from 1 species
UGCACCGUUUCAAACAUGAAAUGAAUGUAACUGCUUAUAUAUAGACCAUUAUUAGUCUAAUAAAAUAUGCUUCUAGGACAAUCCAUCAGUGCUUUUUUCUUUUGAGAGCCUUAUUUACAUGCCAAUUGUAGGAUAUGAAUCUUGUAUAAAUGACCAAGACCGACUAAGGCUAAUUUGAGGGGUGGUCGGAGGGGUCCUGAUCCCGAAAUCCCGGGCUUAAAACCAUGAAAUCCCGAGAUGCAGAAUUUAAAGAAAUUCAUAUCCCGAAAUCCGGAAAUCGAAAAAUAUAUUCCCGGAUCACGUAAGGAUCAAUCCUAAAAUCAGGAGCUUAAAAACACCCGAUCCCGACGCCCCCA